rnacentral:lncRNA from 1 species
UACACAAGUUGCAGGGAUUAAAUAAUGGUUACAUCAGCUGUGAAGCCCUUUUUUGUUUGCGGAUUGUUUGAAGUUUUACAACAAUUAUUGUACAAGGAAAAUUUUCAUCAACAUCUUCUUGGCUCCUAUAGAGGGUCAAUGGUUUAAAUAUUUGGUAAUGGAAUGAUAAGUUAUGCUCUGGAAUACAUGUUUUCCCAAUCUAAAAUUGAGAAUGGAAAUGGGGAAUGUGCCAAAGAGACAACAACCUGACCAUAGAAAAAAACAACAGCAGAAGGUCACCAACAGGUCUUCAAUGUAGCGAGAAAUUCCCGCACCCGGAGGCGUCCUUCAACUGGCCCCUAAACAAAUAUAUACUAGUUCAGUGAUAAUGAACGCCAUACUAAUUUCCAAAUUGUACACAAGAAACUAAAAUUAAAAUAAUACAAGACUAACUAGCAUGCAGCGACACAUGUCCAGACCUGGUAUUGGUCUUGUCAUUUG